CAGCCGCCACGGUAAUACGAAGGGUGCAAGCGUUAAUCGGAAUUACUGGGCGUAAAGCGUGCGUAGGCGGUGAGUUAAGUCUGCUGUGAAAUCCCCGGGCUCAACCUGGGAAUGGCAGUGGAUACUGGCUCGCUAGAGUGUGUCAGAGGAUGGUGGAAUUCCCGGUGUAGCGGUGAAAUGCGUAGAGAUCGGGAGGAACAUCAGUGGCGAAGGCGGCCAUCUGGGACAACACUGACGCUGAGGCACGAAAGCGUGGGGAGCAAACAGGAUUAGAUACCCGGGUAGUCCCUGUCUCUUAUAU
rnacentral:rRNA from 1 species